CUUCUCUUCCCCAUAUGUCCAUGGUCCCUGAAAAACAGGAAAAACCAAUCUACCACACAACUAGAAAACCUCAAGAUCCUGCAAAAAAAAGUCUAGGUCGGUUCUUCCUCAAAAGUGUGCUCACGCUCCCAAUCCCCCCGAUAUGCUGCCAUUGGCAUACGCUCCCAAUCCCCCAACUAAUCUAUUGCAAUUGGCACGUUGCUACUGUAGCUCCUCCGCCGCUUCAUGUCGCCCUUCGUAACUUCAUCCAUCAUCCACUUUGAAGAUCCGCAUGGUGCUGCAAUUCGUCCAAGGAGUAGGGAAGCUCGGAUCCAGCAAAAAAAACUUAAUUAGUAAUUAGGCAAUGGAGUGAAGGAAGGGUGAUCUUAUCCCAACGCCCAAACCCUGUUCGAUUUCAUCUGUGGCCGAUUCGUACACCCAUCCACAGGCAAGUAACUCUCUUCUCUUCCUUGAUGAAUUCCUCCUCUGUUCUCCUCCUUGAUGAAUGCAUCCGAGAGCCCCCAAAUAAUUUUGCUUUAUCCGUGAUCUCUCAUCAAGGAAAAAACUGCUCUGUAUAUGUGUUUCACAUCACAACGCUUAUGAGAUUAAGAAAUAUAGGAAGCGAUGAAGAAUGGGCCAGUUACAAUAUUCAGAUAUCAUAUAUAGCUGCCACUUACAGAAAAUAUGAUUACAAGUAGGAUUUACAAUCUUUUCCUCAAAUCAUUAAAUGGGUUUAGCUACUGUGAGUUCCAGUAUGGUCGUUUAUUGAUCACAAAGGAAUUGCUUCUGCCAUUGGAAGUAUGACAUGAGUCCUGACUUCUGCAGUGUAGGAAUCUGUAGUUUCUCCAUGCUGGUAAAAAAUGAAGGAGUUCUCCUGAUAUUCCCCAUCACUUUUCAUAACAGAAUGUGCAUCUUAUCUUCACUGAUAUAAACAAUCUCGAGAAAGAGGAGAUCUGGACUAGGCAUUACAUGCUAGACACCAUGGACUGAAAACAUGAGACAUGGAUUGACACGGAACGAUGUAUUACAAUUCUGUUUCCCAUAUAAUCUAAAAGGAUGAGUUGGGCUUCCUUUCAUGAGCUUCUUUUCUGUAAGGUUCAUGUAUAGAGAAAGAAGAAACAAAUAUAAACAUUAUAGCCUAGAUGAGGAAUUGAGGAUAACGGUGGUUUAUCUCAAUGCCACAUGUUUAGUUGGUGGAGCAUGCUCUUGGAGUACGCAUGGAAAUUAACUUGAUGGAAGGAAAUAACAUGGCAAUAAGGUGGCUAGAUUUUUCUGUUC